rnacentral:rRNA from 1 species
UGGGGAAUAUUGGACAAUGGGCGCAAGCCUGAUCCAGCCAUGCCGCGUGAGUGAUGAAGGCCCUAGGGUUGUAAAGCUCUUUCACCGGUGAAGAUAAUGACGGUAACCGGAGAAGAAGCCUCGGCUAACUUCGUGCCAGCAGCCGCGGUAAUACGAAGGGGGCUAGCGUUGUUCGGAUUUACUGGGCGUAAAGCGCACGUAGGCGGACUUUUAAGUCAGGGGUGAAAUCCCGGGGCUCAACCCCGGAACUGCCUUUGAUACUGGAAGUCUUGAGUAUGGUAGAGGUGAGUGGAAUUCCGAGUGUAGAGGUGAAAUUCGUAGAUAUUCGGAGGAACACCAGUGGCGAAGGCGGCUCACUGGACCAUUACUGACGCUGAGGUGCGAAAGCGUGGGGAGCAAACAGG